UACGGAGGGUGCAAGCGUUAUCCGGAUUCACUGGGUUUAAAGGGUGCGUAGGCGGUCUUUUAAGUCAGUGGUGAAAUCCUCCAGCUCAACUGGAGAACUGCCAUUGAUACUGGAAGACUUGAGUAUAGUUGAGGUAGGCGGAAUUGACAGUGUAGCGGUGAAAUGCAUAGAUAUUGUCAAGAACACCGAUUGCGAAGGCAGCUUACUAAACUAUAACUGACGCUGAGGCACGAAAGUGCGGGGAUCAAACAGG
rnacentral:rRNA from 1 species